GAUGAACGCUGGCGGCGUGCCUAAUACAUGCAAGUCGAGCGAACAGACGAGGAGCUUGCUCCUCUGACGUUAGCGGCGGACGGGUGAGUAACACAUGGAUAACCUACCUAUAAGACUGGGAUAACUUCGGGAAACCGGAGCUAAUACCGGAUAAUAUAUUGAACCGCAUGGUUCAAUAGUGAAAGACGGUUUUGCUGUCACUUAUAGAUGGAUCCGCGCCGCAUUAGCUAGUUGGUAAGGUAACGGCUUACCAAGGCAACGAUGCGUAGCCGACCUGAGAGGGUGAUCGGCCACACUGGAACUGAGACACGGUCCAGACUCCUACGGGAGGCAGCAGUAGGGAAUCCUCCGCAAUGGGCGAAAGCCUGACGGAGCAACGCCGCGUGAGUGAUGAAGGUCUUCGGAUCGUAAAACUCUGUUAUUAGGGAAGAACAAAUGUGUAAGUAACUAUGCACGUCUUGACGGUACCUAAUCAGAAAGCCACGGCUAACUACGUG
rnacentral:rRNA from 1 species